rnacentral:piRNA from 1 species
UCCAAAGAGAACAAGAGGAAGAACUCGGA